UACGGAGGGUGCGAGCGUUGUCCGGAAUCAUUGGGCGUAAAGGGCGCGUAGGCGGCUUCUCAAGCGUGCGGUGAAAGUCAGGGGCUCAACCCCUGAUCGGCCGUGCGAACUGGGGGGCUGGAGCACUGUAGAGGCAGGCGGAAUUCCGGGUGUAGCGAUGGAAUGCGUAGAGAUCCGGAAGAACACCGGUGGCGAAGGCGGCCUGCUGGGCAGUGGCUGACGCUGAGGCGCGACAGCGUGGGGAGCAAACAGG
rnacentral:rRNA from 1 species